UACAGAGGUCCCAAGCGUUGUUCGGAAUCACUGGGCGUAAAGCGCACGUAGGCGGAUGUGUCAGUCAGGGGUGAAAUCCCGGAGCUCAACUUCGGAACUGCCCUUGAUACAGCACGUCUUGAGUCCGGAAGAGGUGGGUGGAAUUCCUAGUGUAGAGGUGAAAUUCGUAGAUAGUUAGGAAGAACACCGGUGGCGAAGGCGGCCCACUGGUCCGGUAC
rnacentral:rRNA from 1 species